rnacentral:rRNA from 1 species
CGCUUUCGGGUGUCGCUGAUGGAUGGACCCGCGGUGCAUUAGCUAGUUGGUGAGGUAACGGCUCACCAAGGCGACGAUGCAUAGCCGACCUGAGAGGGUGAUCGGCCACAUUGGGACUGAGACACGGCCCAAACUCCUACGGGAGGCAGCAGUAGGGAAUCUUCGGCAAUGGACGAAAGUCUGACCGAGCAACGCCGCGUGAGUGAAGAAGGUUUUCGGAUCGUAAAACUCUGUUGUUAGAGAAGAACAAGGAUGAGAGUAACUGUUCAUCCCUUGACGGUAUCUAACCAGAAAGCCACGGCUAACUACGUGCCAGCAGCCGCGGUAAUACGUAGGUGGCAAGCGUUGUCCGGAUUUAUUGGGCGUAAAGCGAGCGCAGGCGGUUUCUUAAGUCUGAUGUGAAAGCCCCCGGCUCAACCGGGGAGGGUCAUUGGAAACUGGGAGACUUGAGUGCAGAAGAGGAGAGUGGAAUUCCAUGUGUAGCGGUGAAAUGCGUAGAUAUAUGGAGGAACACCAGUGGCGAAGGCGGCUCUCUGGUCUGUAACUGACGCUGAGGCUCGAAAGCGUGGGGAGCAAACAGGAUUAGAUACCCUGGUAGUCCACGCCGUAAACGAUGAGUGCUAAGUGUUGGAGGGUUUCCGCCCUUCAGUGCUGC